rfam:Biomphalaria glabrata isolate BB02 linkage group LG11 unlocalized genomic scaffold LG11_random_Scaffold634, whole genome shotgun sequence.
CUGAGCCUCAGUCGAAGCCAUAUUGUUAACUCAACUGUGUGGUCAUAAAUGAGGUAAAUUGAAUUUCUCUAGACGGUCGCAGGUCUUAAAAUAUUUGAUUUGCAUACAAUAAAGAGAAACAUUCAU